CUUUCCGGAGUAUCGACCCUCUGGGAGGCGAAGCUAACGCGUUAAGUUGACCGCCUGGGUAGUACGGCCGCAAGGCUAAAACUCAAAGGAAUAGACGGGGGCUUGCACAAGCGGUGGAGCGUGUGGCUUAAUUCGUCGCUAAGCGAAGAACCUUACCAGGGCUAGAAAUCCUACUGCACGCCUAUCGAAAGAUAGGAAGCCUUCGAGGGUGUAGGACAGGUGAUGCAUGGCUGUCGUCAGUUCGUGGUUUGAAUCGUUCCCUUCAGUGGGGUAACGAACGCAACCCUCGUUGCCUGUUAUACGUGUCAGGCGAGACUGCCCCCUCACGGGGGAGGAAGGUGAGGAUGACGCCAAGUCAGCAUGUCCCUCUGAUGUCCUGGGCUGCACACGCGCUACAAUGGCCGUUACAAAGGGGCGCAAUGGGGUAACCCGGAGCAAAUCCUUAAAAGCGGCCUCAGUUCGGAUUGGUCAUACCGCCCGUCAAGUCAGGGAAGUUGGGAGUGCCCGAAGCACAUCCUCGCGAUGUUCCAAGGCAAACUCAAUGACAAAGACUAAGUCGU
rnacentral:rRNA from 1 species